GGCUNUACGGCUACCUNUGUUACGNGACUUAGCCNCNCANAUUACCUGUUCUACCCUAAUCCNCGUUCUUGACGCGGAACUGGCUUAGGGUCUACCAGACUUUCAUGGCUCAGGAUGAACGCGUAGCGGCUAGGCCUAAUACAAGUGUCCCGGAACGGUAUGAACCGGGUGCAUAAGGCAAUGACACACUGACGCACUAGGUGCGUAAUUCACAGCUAUGCAUACGCUACCUGAGUUGCUGAUCCCCGAAUCAGAACUUUGGAGNNAACGGAGAUUUCGAGAUACCGCAUCCAGUAAGACAGUGNAUCAUGGCUACCCUCAUGUACCGCCCAUGUGUAACAGCGUGUGUCGGCCCAUAGGCGAUAGAGUGGCGCAUGAGUCCAACUUAUGUUACGUCUGGUCCACGUAACGGCUUCACUCUCAAGUACGAUGAUUGCGGUAGGCAGGCUUGAUCUGAGAGGAUAAGUCCCCCACACUGGCACCUGUAGAUACGGGCCAGACUAACAACAGGGAGUUGCAGCACGUAGCGGAACAUUAACCCAACACCUCGACGGACGAGUCUGACCACAGCCAUGCAGCACGCAGGAUGAAAGUCGUUAUGCAGACUAAUCUAAACUGCUAAAUUAUUCCUUCACAUUCUAGCCUAAGAAAAAGUUCCUUGCGAGGGAAAGUCACCGAACUAUAACCACAUACUCCACCCGCUUACUCCUGCCACCACCCGUCGGUAAUUCCUUUGAAGGUGAGACCGUUGGCCGACGGUACCCCCCUCAAAUGGUGCGUAGACGGUUAACCGAUUAGUGGUGAAAACGNCGUCACGAUUNAGUGCAUUGANCUGUNG
rnacentral:rRNA from 1 species